UACGUAGGUGGCAAGCGUUGUUCGGAUUUACUGGGCGUAAAGGGCUCGUAGGCGGCCAACUAAGUCAGACGUGAAAUCCCUCGGCUUAACCGGGGAACUGCGUCUGAUACUGGAUGGCUUGAGAUUGGGAGAGGGAUGCGGAAUUCCAGGUGUAGCGGUGAAAUGCGUAGAUAUCUGGAGGAACACCGGUGGCGAAGGCGGUGAUCUGGGCCGGCACUGACGCUGAGGAGCGAAAGCGUGGGUAGCAAACAGG
rnacentral:rRNA from 1 species